rnacentral:rRNA from 1 species
UACGGGGGGAGCAAGCGUUGUUCGGAUUACUGGGCGUAAAGGGCGCGUAGGCGGUCGUGACAAGUCACUUGUGAAAUCUCCGGGCUUAACUCGGAACGGUCAAGUGAUACUGUCGGACUAGAGUACAGAAGGGGCAACUGGAAUUCUCGGUGUAGCGGUGAAAUGCGUAGAUAUCGAGAGGAACACCUGCGGCGAAGGCGGGUUGCUGGGCUGAUACUGACGCUGAGGCGCGAAAGCCAGGGGAGCGAACGGG